CCCAGACAGCCAGGAUGUUGGCUUAGAAGCAGCCAUCAUUUAAAGAAAGCGUAAUAGCUCACUGGUCGAGUCGGCCUGCGCGGAAGAUGUAACGGGGCUAAACCAUGCACCGAAGCUGCGGCAGCGACGCUGUGCGUUGUUGGGUAGGGGAGCGUUCUGUAAGCCUGCGAAGGUGGCCUGUGAGGGUUGCUGGAGGUAUCAGAAGUGCGAAUGCUGACAUAAGUAACGAUAAAGCGGGUGAAAAGCCCGCUCGCCGGAAGACCAAGGGUUCCUGUCCAACGUUAAUCGGGGCAGGGUGAGUCGACCCCUAAGGCGAGGCCGAAAGGCGUAGUCGAUGGGAAACGGGUUAAUAUUCCCGUACUUGGUGUUACUGCGAAGGGGGGACGGAGAAGGCUAUGUUGGCCGGGCGACGGUUGUCCCGGUUUAAGCGUGUAGGUGUGUGUUCCAGGUAAAUCCGGUUCACUUUAACACUGAGGCGUGA
rnacentral:rRNA from 1 species